AGUGAACGCUGGCGGUAGGCCUAACACAUGCAAGUCGAACGGCAGCACAGUAAGAGCUUGCUCUUACGGGUGGCGAGUGGCGGACGGGUGAGGAAUACAUCGGAACCUACUUUUUCGUGGGGGAUAACGUAGGGAAACUUACGCUAAUACCGCAUACGACCUACGGGUGAAAGCAGGGGAUCUUCGGACCUUGCGCGAUUGAAUGAGCCGAUGUCGGAUUAGCUAGUUGGCGGGGUAAAGGCCCACCAAGGCGACGAUCCGUAGCUGGUCUGAGAGGAUGAUCAGCCACACUGGAACUGAGACACGGUCCAGACUCCUACGGGAGGGAGCAGUGGGGAAUAUUGGACAAUGGGCGCAAGCCUGAUCCAGCCAUACCGCGUGGGUGAAGAAGGCCUUCGGGUUGUAAAGCCCUUUUGUUGGGAAAGAAAAGCAGCAGGUUAAUACCCCGCUGUUCUGACGGUACCCAAGGAAUAAGCACCGGCUAACUUCGUG
rnacentral:rRNA from 1 species